CUCCCUUGUUUUUCUAUCUCUAUCCUCUUAUUUUUAAAAGGAAUAAGUAAAAUCCUUUUCACCCAUCUUACAAGUAAUUUAAAAUUUCAUUUAAAAAACCAUCAGUUUGAAGUUCAUCUACAAACUACAUUUUACAGAUAAGGAAGCUGAGGCCCAGAGAAGCUGGAUCCAAUUUCAGAUCACACACACUAUCCAUAGGAGUCCCUCAGAGUUCUCUCUUAGAUCCACUUCUCUUCUCCCUGUAUAUUAUUGUACUUGGAAGUUCAGCUCCUCUUAACUCUGUUGCCAUCUGUAGGAUAGGAUCUGGGUCUCUGAUUCCAUUAUGAUGAAACUCUAAGUUGAAGACACAAAUUCAAAAGGGAUAAGAGACUUGUCUAAGACCACAGAGCAAGAAUGUUUA
rnacentral:lncRNA from 1 species